GAUGAACGCUGGCGGCGUGCCUAAUACAUGCAAGUCGAGCGAACGGACGAGAAGCUUGCUUCUCUGAUGUUAGCGGCGGACGGGUGAGUAACACGUGGAUAACCUACCUAUAAGACUGGGAGAACUUCGGGAAACCGGAGCUAAUACCGGAUAAUAUUUUGAACCGCAUGGUUCAAAAGUGAAAGACGGUCUUGCUGUCACUUAUAGAUGGAUCCGCGCUGCAUUAUCUAGUUGGUAAGGUAACGGCUUACCAAGGCAACGAUGCAUAGCCGACCUGAGAGGGUGAUCGGCCACACUGGAACUGAGACACGGUCCAGACUCCUACGGGAGGCAGCAGUAGGGAAUCUUCCGCAAUGGGCGAAAGCCUGACGGAGCAACGCCGCGUGAGUGAUGAAGGUCUUCGGAUCGUAAAACUCUGUUAUUAGGGAAGAACAUAUGUGUAAGUAACUGUGCACAUCUUGACGGUACCUAAUCAGAAAGCCACGGCUAACUACGUG
rnacentral:rRNA from 1 species